rnacentral:lncRNA from 1 species
UGGUCAAAGAUUGUCUCAGUUUUAAAAAAUUAGUAUAUCAUGUGACAUCCCAAGUGCUAAUUAAGGAAAAUGGGUGUUAGAUACAAAUUUAAAAUAACGAGUGCAUGAUAAAAUUUAUGCAGCGGAACAAAAUCAUUACAAAUUCCUUAUAAAUACAUAUGAGUUCCAAUACAUACAUAUAUUGAGGCCAGAAGUGGCUGCAAAAUACAACACAAAUAUAAGGGCCACUUCUUUCACUAUGCUAUUGGACUCAUUAAAGUGCGGGAACAGUCAUGCACUCAAACUUGUGGAUCCACAGGAUCCUCACAGAGUUCCAAGAGUUGGUCUGCUUGUGGUUCCUC